GGAUUAAUUUAUUGGUCGUGCUAUUGUACGUACUGGUAUUAUUGAUUCCUACCUUCUGACGAACCAUGAUGUCAUUAAUUUGGUGUCUUGGGGAAUCAGGACUGUUACUUUGAAAAAAUUAGAGUGUUCAAAGCAGGCCUAUGCCUGAAUACAUUAGCAUGGAAUAACGAAAUAGGACGUUUGAUUCUAUUUUGUUGGUUUCUAGGAUCGACGUA
rnacentral:rRNA from 1 species